UGGACAACUAAAGCUCAUCAAAAAUUGUGGGCAUGGAAAGCAGGAGAAACGGGAAAAUACAUCUCCAAAAGGCCACGCCAUGUGGCAUGUGGGAUCUUAGUUCCCCGACCAGGGAUCGAACCCGGGCCCCCUGGGGUGGGAGUGCAGAGUCUUAACCACUGGACUGCCAGGCUGGCAGCGUGCCAACAAGAACUGGAAUUCAUUUUCGGAACAAAGGAGGACACAUAGUUCUGUCCAUGGAAGAGGUCUAGAAGGAAUGAUCAAUUCAGUAACAAUGUGCAGAUUGAUGUCUUUGAAUAUCACUUCCGCUGAAAGGAACCAGCCAUCCUUGGAGAGAGGUCUGGGAAAGGAAAUUACAUGGGAUUAACUUGGAAAAUCUUGUCUGGGCAGAUAGCAAGGCAGCUAUCAAAAACCACUAGGGGGGCUUCCCUGGUGGCGCAGUGGUUGGGAAUCUGCCUGCCAAUGCAGGGGACACGGGUUCGAGCCCCGGUCUGGGAAGAUCCCACAUGCCACGGAGCAACUGGGCCCGUGAGCCACAAUUACUGAGCCUGCGCGUCUGGAGCCUGUGCUCCGCAACAAGAGAGGCCGCGACAGUGAGAGGCCCGCGCACCGCGAUGAAGAGUGGUCCCCACUCGCUGCAACUGGAGAAAGCCCUCGCACAGAAACGAAGA